rnacentral:rRNA from 1 species
UACAGAGGGGGGCAAGCGUUAUUCGGAAUUAUUGGGCGUAAAGGGCGCGUAGGCGGCUUGGCAAGUGGAAGGUGAAAUCCCUCGGCUUAACCGAGGAACUGCCCUCCAAACUGCUUCGCUUGAGACCAGGAGAGGUGAGUGGAAUUCCCAGUGUAGCGGUGAAAUGCGUAGAUAUUGGGAGGAACACCAGUGGCGAAGGCGGCUCACUGGACUGGUACUGACGCUGAUGCGCGAAAGCGUGGGGAGCAAACGGG